UCACUUACCUGGACGGGGUCAACUCGUGAUCAAGAAGACGAGUGGCCUAGGCUAGUAACCUCCAUUGCACUAAGGAGGGGCGCUUAGCCUAAGGUCUCCCCAAGUGGGAGAGCCUGCGUCAUUAUUUGUGGCAGAGGGAACCUGCGUUCGCGCGGCUCCUAC
rnacentral:snRNA from 2 species